rnacentral:rRNA from 1 species
AUGGGAACGCGAAGAACCUUACCUAGACUUGACAUCUCCUGAAUAGUGUAGAGAUACAUGAAGCCCUUUGGGGCAGGAAGACAGGUGGUGCAUGGUUGUCGUCAGCUCGUGUCGUGAGAUGUUGGGUUAAGUCCCGCAACGAGCGCAACCCUUAUUACUAGUUGCUACCAUUAAGUUGAGCACUCUAGUGAGACUGCCCGGGUUAACCGGGAGGAAGGCGGGGAUGACGUCAAAUCAUCAUGCCCCUUAUGUCUAGGGCAACACACGUGCUACAAUGGUGAGUACAGAUAGAUGCUAAGCCGUGAGGUGGAGCGAACCCCUAAAAGGCGUCUCAGUUCGGAUUGCAGGCUGCAACUCGCCUGCAUGAAGUCGGAAUCGCUAGUAAUCGCGGAUCAGCAUGCCGCGGUGAAUACGUUCCCGGGUC